UCUUCAAUGCACAACAUUUUUUCUUUAUAUAAUCUUCAAUUUAGUCAAUCUAAUAUAUCCAAUUCAGAAUUUAGUAAGCAAAUAGAAUCACUCACAAAAGCUAAUCAAACAAAAUUCAACUACCAACAUCACACUAGAUAAACAACAGCUCAAUAAAACAACUCAUCUAAUUCAAAAUUCGGUGGGCAAGUAGAAUUAGUCACAGAAGCUACUUAAAUAUACAAUCACAAAAGCUACUCAAAUAGAAUUCAACAACCAAAAUUCACUCUAAA
rnacentral:lncRNA from 1 species